AGGCCGCCACCUCUCCUCACCUUCUCCUCGCUUCCCGAUCUGAAGUGAAGGGAUUGACGCGGCCGCCGGGGAUGACUCCAGUUCAUCGUCGAUGGGAGAAGGGGAGCAUCAGCCGCCUCCCUCUCGGCCUCCCCGUCUCGUCGGAGCCGCCGCUCUCAGGGUCCUUCCCAGCCAUCCAAGGAUCUCCCAUCCCAUCCCGAGCCGGAUUUCAGUGACAGGGGAUGAGAGAAUCGACGAUGCAUCAAGGCCCCCGCCACCUCUAUUGCGGCACAGCACAACGGCCUCUGCAGAAGCUAAGCGGCAGUUGCCUCGUCUCCUUUUCAAUCGCAACACCUGCGACCUUUAAUCUCAAUAGCAGAGCCCUCAGUUGUUAGGGAAGGUUUGCUCGUGCUUGUGAUGGUUGGCCACAUCCCAGCAGCGUGUGGGAGCCGCUGUUUUCAGCCAGAGUUGGGUCUCCUUGCCAUUCAUCACCAGCCUGUCUGCAGAAAGACGAAGGCGAUGAAGAGGAUACAUGAGCGGUCAAGUCAGCGUGAGGUGGAGAAGAUGUGGCGUUUCUGUCGGUGGCGCUGGGCCAGCAACAUCAGACAGUGGACUACGGGGAGCUGCCGUGGGUGGUGGCUACAGUUUCCACGAGAGUGGGGUGGGGGUGGCACAUGUGGGGGCGACGACAGCAAGUGGAUCCGCACCGCUGAGGUGCACAAGCACUCCGAGAAGAGGAGUGGGAUCGGCGAGAAGAUUGAAGGUGUUGCGGACCCUGUACUCAAUUCCAACAAGAUUAACAAGGCAUCUAUGCUUGACGAGGCCAUUGAGUAUGAGAAGCAGCUAUAUCUCGAAGUACAAGUUAGUAAGCAUGCCUGGAUGCAUGGUUGGAGGAUGAGCUUAGAUUGAGGGAGAUGGUGGUCUCAUCGAGGACGUAUGCAUGUAAGAUCUAUAUGACUAGGGCCCAAUGCUCAGUUAAUUUCUGAGUGAUGGAGUUCGUCGAAUAAAUGUGAACCACAUCAUAUGAAUGGGUGUUAUUCUAGCUUUAGUCGAUGCACAUUGUUCAGUUCAUAUAUGAUUCCAACGGCUUUACUUCCAUAUCACAGGUUUUCCAAAACCAAAUAUUAGUAAUGCCACAUGUAUAUGAUUAGUGUCUAUUCAUUUGUUUUGUUUCCACUUCCAUUUUAUUGCCUGCAAGCAACAUUGACCUCAGACAUCUACUACUCAUUGCCUUUGCUAUACGGAUUUAUAUAAAAAACGAAAUUUAGCUUGCCAUGUAUGUGAACACUUCUGUUACAAGGGCUCUCCAGGCUUAUGAUCUUUCCAGGAUAAUUGAUUGUUGAAUCUGAAGGUAUAUAAUCAGUUUGUUAACUCAUGUAUCUUUAUGCAUUUUUGUUCAUCCUCAAAAUAUUGUUGCUUACUUUCCUUUUCCUACAUUUUUUAGAUUGCUGAGGAGGUUCAGUUCUUGUAGGCUGGGUAAAACUUGAGUUGCCUACAAAUGAUUUUGCCCGUUUGUUGAAGAUUUUUCUGGGCUUGUGCAUGGCGAGCCCGAUGGGCUGCUUAUGAGCAGUUUGCACUGUAUGAACUUUGUAUGAGAGGCUAAGAUAGGCAUGGUGACAUGGAUCAUGGUACUUGGUUUUGCUAGAUUUCAUGUGUCUAUCCAUCUAUACUAUCUCCAACAAUGCAUAUUUUUCCCAUGUAUCUCUCAUUCUUCCAUGUAGCUAGAGACUUAGAAUAACCAACGGAACUUUCUCAAUUUUGUGUUUUCGCUCUUCUCAGAUUUUAGGCUGGGUGUAUAGAGAUGUGCGGCACACACUGAAUUUAGAUUUCACUUGGAAUAUAUCAUUGUGCCAUGUUCAAAAUUAGAACUACAUAGAAGAAUGAAAUUUUGUGAUUGGGCUGCUGUGGUGUUUCUUUUUAAAUAAAUGGCAUGCUUACUUGCUGGUUUAAUUUAGGUGUGUAAGAUAGUGUCUCCUCUCCGUUGCAACAAUCAACUUUCUCAGGUUUGUCCAGUGGUUUGAUGCAGCUGAACCAUAGAAGCAACCAAUAGCUAUUCUGAAUAAUUAUGACUGUUCUCAGCUAAACCACACCUGUACUAGCUAAACCAAGGAAGCAACUUAUGAUCAAACCUGACAAUGGUUAGCAUGAUCAGGUUGGAGGCGUUAUUUCUCGUGAGGAGGUCUUUUUGCUCGGUCUUGGUUUACUAGCUUCAUCCGGUUUUGAAGUGUCGGCAUGGUGUACAAGCCUGUUGACGGGAUAUCUCAUAACUGAAACCAUGAACAACAAGUGCUUCGGUUAUGGUGUUGGCGAUCCAUUGCUUGAGGCGACAUCGUGUGCAAGAUUAUUCUUGUGGAGGCCACUGGCACAGUGGCACCCUCCUCGGUCUGCUGAUCCCAUUACCCAGGUUGCGUGUUGCGCCUAAAUGUUGGAUAUAUGGUGAUCUGGUAAUGCCGAUUUGGGAAAGCAGGUGUACAAUGUGUGUAAAUUAAGAAAACAAUUUAUAAUCUGUGAUGUGAUCACUGCAUUUUAAUUUAGUAUAUGCGAUCCCCUCAAGUAGGGAAGUAUUGAAUGCACCUCUCUGGCAAGUGCACGCAUAAGGGUACCAUUUUUUACUCAAUCGAUUUCAAAGCAAGGCAUGAGACUGACAUACACUCUUUAAUUGCAUCGUGUAAAGAUAUGUGGUGUGAGGGGAAGGAGAA